rnacentral:tRNA from 1 species
CGGGGCAUGGCGCAGCUUUGGUAGCGCGCGCCGUUCGGGUCGGCGAGGUCGUGGGUUCGAAUCCCGCUGCCCCGA